AACGAACGCUGGCGGCAGGCUUAACACAUGCAAGUCGAGCGCCCCGCAAGGGGAGCGGCAGACGGGUGAGUAACGCGUGGGAACGUACCUUUUGGUUCGGAACAACUCCGGGAAACUGGAGCUAAUACCGGAUAAGCCCUAACGGGGAAAGAUUUAUCGCCGAAAGAUCGGCCCGCGUCUGAUUAGCUAGUUGGUGAGGUAACGGCUCACCAAGGCGACGAUCAGUAGCUGGUCUGAGAGGAUGAUCAGCCACACUGGGACUGAGACACGGCCCAGACUCCUACGGGCGGCAGCAGUGGGGAAUAUUGCACCAUGGGCGCAAGCCUGAUCCAGCCAUGCCGCGUGAGUGAUGAAGGCCUUAGGGUUGUAAAGCUCUUUUGUCCGGGAAGAUAAUGACUGUACCGGAAGAAUAAGCCCCGGCUAACUUCGUG
rnacentral:rRNA from 1 species